rnacentral:lncRNA from 1 species
GCCAGAGUGAGGCAGGCUUUGAGGAGCUUGCCAAGGAGGGCGAAGGCCUUGCUUUGAAAACACUUCUCCAGUUUGCUGACUCGUGGGACUUGGCAAGCCCAGGGAAUAGUGCUGAAGGGAAGAAAGCCCCUGGAGGGGCCUCCCGGGCGGCUGCAGGCAACCCUGCUCUUUUCAUUGGCCCCAUGUGACGCCCACAAGGGAGCAGGCCUCGAAGGCCUUGUAAAUGAGUGUUUGCAGGGCCCCUCCCUGACUACAGCCCAUAUGUCAGGACACACACCUCCGGACUGCUAAAUGGCUGAGAAAAGGACAACCGUUUUCCGUGUUGGUACGACAUGCAGCAUUGGCCAGUCAAGGAUUGAGAUCAGUCAGAGUGACAGUUUCUGGGGAAACCCUCAAUACCUUUAAGGGGAGAUCAAGGACUCUAUUGAGUUGCAGAGAAGUUACUGAAGCCAUUCAUCCAUUUGGCCAACAGCCAUCAACGCAGGCCAAGGGUGUACAUGCCUCAUAAACAGAGAACUGGUUCCCGGAUAGCCAUGAUGGCAAAAGCAAGCCAGGCAGCUGGCUUUCCUGAGGAGGCACAUGGUGGCUCUGUCGGGGCCAUCAAAGUUGUCUCAGGGCUUCCGUCCACUGGAGACUGCUGCAAGCUGACAAUUUCAAAUCCAUUUGCAUCCACUUAGCUUUCCAGAGACCAAGGCAUUUUUCAGCUACAGCAAACAACACAUGAAUGUGAAGCUCGGAGCAGGCAGCACAGGGCAAAAAAGGAUUGGGAAGUCUCUGGGGCUGCUGCUAACUUGUCUUGAAAAAUCAAAAUGAACUUUUUUCUUCAAAGAUUCUGCUUCAAUUCAUCAUCAUUAUAAAAACACUCAAGUCCUUGAGGUCUGAGGCUGCAGUGAAUGCAUACAAAAUGGGUUUUCUGCAGGGGAAAAAACAUAUAAUAAUGUCCUAAAGCUCUUCUUUUGAGCUAUGGGCAGCAGGGAAGUCUGGUUUGAAAUCCAACCUUCACCUCCACUGAGCAAAUUUUGUUAAUUAGGAUGUGUUUGCCCUCCUUAAGGCACCUUCUUUCUCAGGAGAUUUGUAUCUGGGGAGGGCCUUUCCGAAAGGUAGAACAUCUUUAAUUAUUCAAACUGCUGGACCCUGGAGCAUGAUAUCCCCUUUGCCAGCUGUCAUUGGCACCCCAAAAGUAACACAGACUUCAUUAGUGUAUCAUGGAAACUCUAUUAUAGAUGGGGGCUGGGGGUUGUUAACCUGGUUUAUUAGUGUAACACUUCAGGUCCAUAUGGUAAAAGGGCUUCUGUGGGCUGGGCUGAGACUCACCAGGCAUGAUAGUGUUUCUUAGGAAAGUAAGUUCUGAUUUCCAAGUGGCUGCCUUUGAAUCUGGAAUGCAAGCCAUUUCUAAGAAGGAAAAUGCCCUGAAAUAUUAGAUGCAUGUUUUUUCCCAUUAUUUCAGAGGUGAGGAAUGCAGUUAUCUUGAACUUCCUUUAGAUAGAUGGUUUCCUUUUCUCCUUCUCCCCCUUCUUCCUCUUUCCCCACCUCCAUGCCAUUUUAUGAGCUGAUAAACCAUUAGUAGUUAACAUGGACUUCUCAGAAGGCAGUCAAGGAUAAACUUUGCCAGAAAGGGCUGAUUCAGGUGGGGUUACAUGACAGGCUCUGUAGUCCCGAGGGACACUUUUCCAGACUUGAGCAUAAUAUGAAUUCAGGGAGGCAAGAAAGAAGAGUCACAAGAUGAGCCCUCAGGACAUCCUUGCAUAAACCCCCAAAGUCAGGGGCUUAAGAAAGAGAUGUGAGGAAGAAGAUAAGAUCCAGAAGCAAAGAAAUUUGUUAGAGACAGACUGGCAAAGACAGAAGACCAUAGCAAGGACAAUUCUGAGUCCAGCAGUGGACCAGGUACAAUGACAGCCAGCUCUCCCUACCCAUGGGUUCCAUAUCAGUGGCUCCCACCAUCCAUGGACAGAGAAUACUCAGCAAAAAUAUUACAUCUCUACUGAAUGUGUACAGACUUCUAUUCUUUAUCAUUAUUUGCUAAAUAAUAUAAUAGAAAAACUCUCUACAUAGCACUUACAUUGUAUUAGGGUAGAAGUAAUCUAGAGAUAAUUUAAAGCAUACAAGAGAAUGUACAUAGACUAUAUGAAAAUACUAUUCCAUUUUAUAUUGGGACUUCAGCAUUUGCAGAUUUUGGUAUCUUCAGGGAUCGUAGAGCCUGUUCCCCAUAGAUACCAAGGGGUGACUAUACUUGAUGAGUUUUGGAUAGGCCCAAGUGAAAAGCAAACAUAGAUUAUGAACAACUCCUUUCACAGUGAAAAUCAAAAGGCUACUCUCCUUCCUCCAGAGGACAAUGAAUUCCCCCCCCUUAGAGCCAAGUGGUGCAAGCUUGGUAGCCCCUUCCUAGGUCUACUGGAGAGAAGGUAGCAGUCAGGCCAAGAUCCAGUAUGCCCUGGAACUCCCUGCUAGAGGUGCUCAUGACACCUUCCCUCCAUGAAAUGUGGUCAAUGUCAGAAUAGACAAGUAGGGAGAGAAACACCUCACUUCCAUCCUGGUAUGCAGAGGCCAUACUGAAAACCACUAGCAAUCUCAGCAACACAGCACUGGCCCAACCGAUGGAUAUGAUCACAGGCAUAGCCAGCCUCACACAAGGCCCACAGGCUAAAGACCACCUCUGCAUAGCUGUGUCAGUCAGUAAAGCAUCUUUCAAGAUUAAACAAGAAAAUACAUUAGUGAAGGAUGUAUGAUGCCUUCGUAUAAGACUUUACAUUCAAUCAUUAUUAUAAUCUUGUGUAGGACACACUUUCUAAGCAUGAGACCUGUGCAGUGAUAUGGGACACCACAAACCUAAAGGGACCCCACUUGUGGCUAAUGCUCUGCUAUCACUUUCCCGAUAUUCUUUAUUUCAGAACAAAGAGCCUGCAUUUUCUUUUCUUUUCUUUUUUGGGGCAGAGGGAGUACUGGAGAUCGAACUCAGGACCUUGCACUUGGGAGUCAGGUGCAGUGCCACUGAGCUAAAUCCCUAGCCCUGCAUUUUCAUUUUGUAUUGGAGUCUACAAAAUAUGUUGUUGGUCCUUGUCCAAUGGGGGAAAAAACACAGGUGUUACCAACUGCCCCAUUUACAGAUCCAGAAAAAGAGGAUUAAGCAGGUUAAACGGCUUCCCUAGGCUCACCUCACUAGUAAGCAGCUAACUCCAGCUCCAGACCUCACACUUCCUGUGUUAGAUAGCUUUGUGCCACUGGGACAAAAUGCCCGAACAAAAAACAACUUAACAGAGGAAAAAUCUAUGUUGACUCAUGGUUUCAGAGGUCUCAGUUCAUGGUCACUUGGCUGCCCCCAACAGGAGCUGUCCAAACUGGGCCAGACUGGACCAAGCUGGGCCAGUCAGAUUUUCUUUCCCGGGAAUCUGGAAUUGGCAUCCAGCCAACAAGGGGCAAAAGAAACAGCUGGAGCAGUUGUUGAAACAGAGGAAGGGUAGAUUCGGGCAUAGGACAGUCAUGUAAUAACAUUUGCAUCUCCUAUCCUUUCUCCCCACACUCCAAAUUUAUGACUCCCAGAAACAUAGCUAGAGGAAAAGGUCAGGGUCUACCAUAUUGCCAGGAGAUAAUAAUCCAGACAUUUUAGGGGAAACUUCCUUAUGUGAUCUCACUUGUGGCUGAAAACCUACCAGACCUGCUGGUCAUGGGAGUUACAUGAGGAUGGACAGCUGUGAUUGCUAACAUUUCUUAUUCAUGCUGCUACUAUUGUUUAAUCUGUAUAAAUAUAUGUAGCACUUCCUAUAUUCCAGAUACUAAUCUAAGUGCUUUACAUAUAUCAAUUCAUUUAAUUUUCCUAAAAGCCUAUAAAAUAGGUAUUACUAUCAUCAUUCCUGGUCUAUAAGUAAAGAAGCUAAGGCACAAAGAAGUUAUGUACCCCACCCAAAAUCACACAGCUCAUAUGUGGUAGAGCCAGGCUUUGAACUCAACAGCCUGACUGCAAGCAAAGUCUGAAUUCUUAACAUUCACCAACUACCUCUCGAAAUAUUAUCCUGGCUGGUCUGAAAUAAAUAACAUGCAAUUUCCACUUCUCAGUUUAAUUUUACCUAAUCACAAUGCAAUGUUUUAAAAAUGUUGCUUAUUUAGAAUCAAAAAAGCCUCUGAGCAGUCAAAAUAAAAUGACAAUGCAAAAGCAUGAGCACUCAGUCCCUAAGAUUUUCACUCAACCCUCAUUUACUCACAUUCUCUCUCCCUCUCCUCUUCUUCUUUUUACAUGUAAAAAAGAAUCUAGGGUAGAGUUUCACCUAGGAUAUGGACCAUUAUCUGUAUCCAAAUGAUCCAAAAUGUAUCACUUCCUCUCAGGUACAGCUUUCAAUCUGUCCACUUGGGGUUCUGCAUAUCCGCAAUUUUGAUCCCAAGGAAGGAUCACACUACAGGGUCUUACCCUUUCCUACCAGCUGGUGUGUGCUCAGAACAUGCACAACUGGAGCCAAUAUACACAGGACUGUAGAAAUGGGCCCAAAGAACCACCCCAUGGGACUCUCAAAGUCAAAUAUAGAAAGUCAUUGGGGUCCUCUCUUCAGUUUGCCUUCUGCUAAGGGAAAGGAGUCAAACGCAUUCGGAACUCUCCGUCCCUUGUCUUGUAACCAUCCUCUUUCUCACUGAGCCCCUUUAGACUUUAGAUUCUCUAUUGAAUGCUUCACUCUUUCUUAAUUUUUGCUUUUUAAUCUAGCUAACUCUGGUGUAAUAUCAUCUUUGUUUUUAAAUACCUUGUUCUUAAAAGGCCUACAAUACGGUAUGUAUACAUAUAAACUUCCCUUAGUGAAUGUAUCCAUUAUCUAUAGCAAACAUGUACUAAUAAAAUAGUAAAAUAAGUAUAUAAAUACUUCCUUCUUAGUAAAGUGUAAAUUCUACCAUAUGUAAUAUAGUUCAUUCAGUAAAUAUUUUGAUCUAUGUAUUCUGUAUUUUAUUAUUAUGUACAGUAAAUAUAUUUAAUAAAAUUCUUUAAUUCAUAAAAUAGAUUCCUUACCCAAACUGCUAAUAGAGUUGUGAUUUGGGUUCUCCAGAAAAUGGUCAUGGUGUUGGUUCUCCCCUGUCAGCAUCUCACUCUUAGCAGAUGCUUUAAAAUAUUCUUAUUUGAAUUGACUUGCUAGGCUAGGUAGCUUUCAAGAACUGGGUGUGUGUAGUUUCAGUCCAUCUGUCUACUCAGCAAGGUCUUGGCAGCACUAACUCUUCCUUUACACCUAACACAUAUUUAUUAUUCUUUACACUUCUUUCCUUAAAUUCUGAAAUCUUUUUUUUUUUUUUUGGUACUGGGGAUUGAACCCGGGUCCUUGAGCUUGCUAGGCAGGUGGUGAAACCACUGAGCUAAAUCCCCAGCCCCUUCUGAAAUCUUAAUUACUGGCAAUACCACCCUGAAUGACUCCUGCCAUCAGCACUGGAACUGACCAUUCCUUCAACACUUACAGAGGAUUUUGCUGUGCACCAAGACUAGGAACUAAAGCAAUGACAGCUAUUUCGUUUGUCCCCAACAGCCAUGUGACAUUCUCCCUUCUUCCCCAAACAUGGAGUCCUGUCAGCUGGUCUUGUUGACCACCAUACAGAACAGCCUGUACCUCAUAAGAUGCCUGUCUCAGUGUGGGGCAGAGAUUUCUCGUUAAGGAUGUUCCAGCCGUGAACUCUACUGAAAGGCUGGUUUCAAGCUCCUGGAUGCAAAUGACCCUCCUGCUUCAGCCUUUCAAGUACUAUAAUUACACUCAACCAUCGUGCCCAGAUGUUUCCGGUGCCAGGCCCUAGUGACUCUUCACAUCAGUUCAGUCGUGACACUGGUAGAAUCAGCAUAAGGAUAUUGGAAAUAUUCCUGGAAACCACUCCUACACUCUAGAAUGGCUAGAAAUAUUUAUACACAGAAGUGACUGUGAAUGCCUCUAACCCAAACUGUUUGCCUAACUCCACUUUCCUUAGCCCAAUGCCCAAGAUGCCUGAAAUCAUCAAUUCAAGGAAAGAGUUUAGUGGAGAGAAAAAUCAGACUAGAAAGAGACAGUGUCUUAAUGAACUAUCAUUAUCUAUUUGUACAAAUUUUCCCAAAACUCUAUGACCACAUGAACACUCUAGUGGAGACUUUACAGUGUUAUGAAAGUGAAGAGGCUCAAGUUGAGGCUUUAUCUGUAUGUAACUUAACUCUGGCACCAGUCAAUCAAAAAAGACAGCAGGCAUGAAAAGCCAGCUCCUUUUUCUGAUGUAUACAAGCUGCCUGAGCAUUCCUGCAUGCUGACUACUGAUGCUUGUAAGUAUCUGCAGGUAAUACACUUCCACAAAGACGUAUUCUAACUUGUUACAAAUUGUGUUUUGCCAUAUUUUUCUUAAAGACUUCAUUCUUGUCUACCUUUAAACUCUCCUUUGCUAUAUUUUUUGUUUGUUUGUUUGGGUUUUGAGACAGGGUCUCCCUAUGUAGUCCAGGCUGGACUCAAACUCUCCAAAAUUCUCCUACCCCAGCCUCCCAAGUGCUGAGAUUAUAGGCGUGUGCCACCACCCUGGCUUCUUUGCUGUAUUAUCAGGCUCUUUCAUUUUUCAUGUGUUUUGCAGCCAUGAUCUGCAUAUAGAUUUUAAAAUGUUUGUUGUAUUAAGGGGCUUAAUAAAGAAAGAAUUACACAACAGACAGGUUUUGGAAGUCCUCCUUUGUGAGUGUCUUUAGUUGCUCUUUAGUUUGCAUUGAUUCAAAAUGUUUACCUUUCGUGGUCAUUUUGACUUUGGGGAAGAGCCAGAGGUUGCAUAGUGCCAAAUCUGCUGAAUAAAGUGGAUAAGGACAUACCAUAAUGUUUUCACAAGGCUCCUUUGCCACUGGAAUGCAUUUGGCAGCAGUAUUCACCAUAUUUUAUUUUCUAACACCUUGUAAAGGCACUCACAAGUGAGGUCCUCUCUUCAGAAAGUAGCAACAAUGGGACAGUGUGUUCAAAUUGAGAGGGAGUAUUCUGAGGGAAAUUAAUGGCAAUGUGUCUUUUACUGUAGUAAAUUUUAAAAAUUUAAAUGUUCACUGUAUAUUUUAAUUGUACUCUGUAAGAAUAGCUUGAAUUAAAAUGCAAAAUGUGGACUUAGGCAAAGGAAAGUAUUAAACAAUAAACUAAUGACUGAAAUGACCAAGUUAAAGAGAGUCCUAAGAAGCAUUUCCCAGGUCAAGAGCUAGAUUUGUGUCUGUUCACUGGUUUCUCCUCUAGUAGAAUCUAAGAGUAUUGAAGGCAAGGGCUAUAUAUUCAUCUCAUGUGUACAGCCUGAUACAUGUGCAGUCAGCUUUACUGAAUAAGAAAAGUAAUGAGUUGUGAUGAAAGACUAACAGAAACUGUGCUGUGUUAAUGAAUGAACACAUGAAACAACAAGUAUGAGGAAUGGUCAUGCUUUUUUGUUGCUGGUUAGGAGUCACUGGAAAUCUUGGCAAGUGUGACUCUGGCAAAGGUGAAGCAGAGGAAGUUAGAUCUGAGAAAUUCCGGAAGAGUGUUGUUUAUUAAGGAAACUCACUGUGGAUGCUGUUGCAGGAUGUAGGAGUAAGAUGGAAGGGAAGUGCAGUUGUUAACAGGGCCAAACAUCUGGGCUUUUUUGUAUUCAAAAAGAGGAGGUAGGAUCUAAAGAAGAGAAGAAGGGAGUUGGGGGACAGGAGGCAGAGUAGAGUAUCAUCAAGAUGAGUGUGAUAAAAGGUCUUCACACAAGCAGUGACUCAAAGGCUAGUGUGGUGCGGGGUCCUGGAUCUUGGCCCCCUUUUAGGAAAUGUGUACACCAUGGGCCAUGACACCAGCAGGAGUAAAUGAGUGGCCUGGUGAAAAGGAGUGAUAUCCUAAGAGAGGUCAUGGGGGCACAGGUGACGGGAGAGGAAGCCACAUGUGGCACUCACUAAUGGCAACGAUGGAACCGGAAUGCUUGGAAAGUCCCUCAUGGGAGACAAGGAGCAUUCUACCUCGGCCAAAUGAAUAAACACAAUAUAAAGUUUUCUUCAGUGGCCCCCAGGAUUUGCCAUCCUCCUAUUUCCAUGGAGGACUCCUAAAGUCAACAGAAUUAUCCUGUGGGUCAGAGCCAUGCUGAAAAGCAGUGUGGGAAGAGCACAGCCUACUCUACUAUAUUUUGACCUUGGAGUUUAUUUCCACUCUGUCUUUUUCUUUGAUCCCAAAGUUCACAAUAGCCUUUCCUUAGAUGUGUGCAUGUUUUACCUAAGUAAAUUACUCUGUGGUAGUAACCUUUUAAUUUUCUUAAUUAAAUGUGCUCUGUAUCCCAGUUAGCCAGAUCUAUGUUGAGUUUUUUGUUUGUUUAUUUGUUUGUUUUUGGCACCAGGGAUCGAACUCAGGAUCUUGUGCUUGUGAGGCAGGUGACGGCACCACUGGGCUAAAUCUUCGGCCUAUGUUAACUUUUAAUGUAAUCACCAAGAUGAUUUCCCACCCAACACAGCAUUAUACACAUAUUGAGGUUUACACUAUCCACUUAUUCUGGUUCACUCUUCUUAGGUUAGCUUUUCCCACUUUUUUUCUCUAUACCUUUUGAUUCUUUGACCUAAACACAAAAUGAACACAAAUCUAGAAAGAGAGAAACAGAACAAGAGAGUGAAGCUCAUUCUGGAAGCAAAAAAGAGAGGCCUUUCUAUUUCAUUGGCUGGCAAUAAAGCCUGAAACUCCAUCACCAUGUUGCCUGGCAACUUAGGAAAUAUUUUUGUGAUUAAACAAAAAAUAUCUGGAGUAAAUUCACAAUGAAACAGCUAAAACGCAUUAUAUCAUCCUGCAUUUCACCAUUAAAACAUGAGUAGCAGACACUUUGGGACAGAUAACCCUCAAGAAAACAAAAACAAACAUGCUGGCAAUGCCAAGAGGCAGGAGGGACCAGGAAAUGGCCUGGACUGGGACCAGAAGUCCGAGGCAAAUCUCAAACCCUUUGAGGCACUUGGUGUUUUUCAUCCGCAAAAAGAACAAGUGGGAUUAAUGAGCUCUGACAUUUCAUAAUUCAAAAGAAACAGUAAAAACUAGGAGCAUAGAACCAGUCAUUUUUUUGAACUGCAGCAUUUAUUAUGCUUGGGUAGGCUAUGAACACAGGCCUAAAGGGUGAAAAUCAUUCAUCUUGCCUUAAAUGAAAUCCACAGUGGGGUUGUUAGGUUCCCAUAAGCUAUCAAUGCCUGCUUAUUACAAGUAACCCCUUCUUUAGAAAAGCAGAAGCUCAGCAUUAUGAAAGCUGCUCAUCUCAUUAAGAGAAACAAACAAACAAAACCCUCCUGGAAAUUUCUUCAACACUAUUACAACAAGCAAUCCCAGAGUCAAGAAGUCCAGGCAAACUUAAAGUAACUUGUUUGUGGAAAUCACAAAUGAAUAGGCUAUAAAAAUAUCCAAAAAGAGAAGGUGUGGUUGCAAACUAAAAACUGCAGCAACAAAGCUUUGAAGAAUAUAGUGUGGCUGUUAAAAAUCAAGGAUGCUGGGCUCCAAUCCUGGCUUUACCAUUUACUGGGCUAUCUUUUUUAACUCUCUAUAUCUCAGUUUAUUCAUCCAUAUGGGGGUCAUAAGAGUAGCACACAGCCUCACAGACUUAUCAUACCAGUGAAAUGAGUUAGAAAUGGGCUUACAAUAGUAGCUGACAUAGAGUUAGCUAUUGUUGAAUAAGCCAGUAACUGCUAAUACCAGUACUAGAGUUUGGAUUCAAAGUCCAAGACCACUGAUUAUUAACAGUUGACCUUUGGCCAACCUUCCUGGCCUUUCAAUUCCUCAUCUCUAAAAUGGGAAUAACCAUUACUGUGAGAAUUAAACAAAGUAAUGUUUGUGACAUGCACAGAGCAGCUAUUAUGAAUCAUUACUAUCCAAUAAUCAUCAAGAAAUUUCUCUGCAAUUUAUUUAGCUUCUGUUGUUUUAUUAAUGCCUUAAAAAUAACAAUGAAUGGUGAAGACAGUCAAUUUUAUAUGCAUUUUACCACAAUAAAAACAAAUUAGAAAAAAAUAACAAUGGAUGCGAAAGACAUUUCAAGAAGGAAAGAAUAGUCUUUUCAACAAAUGGUGCUGGGAAAACUGAUAUCCACAUUCAAAAGAAUGAAGUUGGGCCCCUUGCUCACACCAUAUGCAAAGUUUACCUCAAAAUGAGUCAAAGAACUAAAUAUAAGAGCUAACCUUUUAAGCUCAUAGAAAAAAGAUAAGCAUGUCUUUAUGGACUUGAUUAGGCAAUGGUUUCUUAGCUUAGACAUCAAAACCACAAACGAUAUGCACAAAAAAACAGAUAAAUUGGACAUCAUCAAAAUGAACAACUUUUAUACUUCAAAGAGCACCAAUUAAGAAAGUGAAAAAACCCACAGAAUGGGAAAAAUUACUUGUAAAUCAUACAUCUGAUAAGGGACUUGUAUGCAAAAUACUUGAACUUUUAAAACUCAAUAACAAAAAGACAAAUACUUAAUAAAUGGAUAAAGAAUCAGAAUAUACAUUUUUCUGAAAAUAUACAAGUGGUCAAUAAGCACAGAAAAAGAUUCUUUUUUUUUUUUUGGUACUGGGGAUCGAACUCGGGUCCUUGCGCUUGCACAGCAGGCGGCGAAACCACUGAGCUAAAUCCCCAGUCCAGAAAAGGAUUCUUAACAUCAUUACCCAUCAGAGAAAUGGAAAUCAAAACCAAAUAUCACUUUAUAUCCACUAGAAGGGAUAUAAUAAAAAAGACAGAAAUAACCAAGUGUUGGUAGGGAUGUGAACAAAGUUGAGCCAUAAUAUGUACUGCUAGUGAGAGUGUAAAAGAGUGCAAAUAUUUUUUUAGAAAACAGUGUGACUAUUCCUCAAAAGAUUAACCAUAUGGUAAAUGAUAUGACAUAGUAUAUGAUUUGAUAAUUCAAACCUUAGGUAUACACUCAAGAGAAAAACGUACAUACAAAAGUUUGUACACAAAUGUUCAUACCAGCAUUAUUCAUAAUAAUCAAAGAGUGAAAACAACUAAAAUGUCCAUUGACUGAUAAACAGAUAAAUGUGCUAUAUCCAUAACAUGGAAUUGUGUCCAACAAUAAAAAGAAAUUGAUAAACACUACAUGAAUGAAACUUGAAAACCUUGAAAGAAACCAAUCACAAAAGGCCACAUAUUAUAUGAUCCCAUCUGUAUGAAAAGGUAGAAUAGGCAAAUUUAUUAGUGAAAGCAUGUAGACCAGUGGUUUCCUAGAGGUGGGGAUAUGGGAGAGAACAGUUAGUGUGGUAGGGCCCCUCCUGACAUGUCAUGUGGGGUGGGGGGACUUUUUACAAUGUAACAUAUCAGCUUCUGUGUAGGCAUGUGUAGUUCUGAGGCAACUCUGUAACAUAAAUUAUACCCAACCACACUGCAGAAUGUUAAUGUAUACCCAACCAGACUAUAAAAUGAUAGUGUAUGCCCAUAUAAGGGAGACAAAGACACAAAAACUGUAUAAAAGGGUGCAACUACACCAUGUUCAGCACUCACCUUUUGGAUAUGAAUCCACCACUUCCUGAGAAAAACUGCCUCGGUAUCCUGUCUUUCUAUACUAAAAUCCCAUUGCAUUAGGGGAAAAUGAGGAUUGACUGUUGAUGGGUGUGGUUUCCUUUUGGAGUGAUACAAAUGUUCAAGAAUUGGGGAGUUUAGUGAUUGAUCCACAAUUGUAAAUAUCCUAACCACCAUUGAAUUGUGCACUUUAAAUUAGUGAAUUACAAGGUGUGUGAAGUGUAUCUCAAUAAAACUAUUAUUAAAAAUAAUAAUGGAAACAUCAGAAGCUCCAAGAACUGCCCCGCAUACCUCCAGACAGGCCCCAAAUUUAUCUUCCAGCAGAGGUAGCAGAGGCUGCUGAUGGAACUGCCUGGAUGAUUCCCGAAAAAGCCUGGAAGACUUCAGACCAGUGGCCAAAUGCACAUGAGUUCCCUGUGGUCCUUCCUUCCUUGAUCUUCUACCACAACAACAAUGUGUUUCCAUUUAAACUGAUGUAGAUAUGCACUUGUAACAAUGGUGAAUGGUCUCAUUUCUGAAUAUUAGCCUAAAAUGCAGACGAGGAGUGCUCCCAUGUCCUUAGCAUUAGGUAGAUCUUUGGUCAAACUACAGCAUUCUCUUUUACUACUUUCUCCCUUGGGCUCAAGAUGUGUUGUCUGAAAAGUGAGAGAUAGCAGUACAGUAAUACCUCAGCUUAGGAAUGCUCCUGUUCAUGAACAAUUUGGUUUGCAAACAGAAGCAUUUGGAACAACUUUGCUUCCAUUAUCGAACUUUGUAUCAAGUGACAAACAUGAUCGCAGCCAUCUUCCCUAGAUGAACACAAAUGUGACCAUCUUGCCCAGAAUCAUGGAACCAAUUAAGUGCAUGAACCAAGGUACCACUGUACCUCCUUCCCAGAGCUACUUGAAGAUUGAGUAAUGUCAUUAACAAGCUCUUAAAGCAACCUGGCUUCCACCUCUUAUAACACUUUGUCUCAUAAUCAUUCCAUCAACUCAGUGCUUGUCUAGUGGCUGUCAUCCCAAUGGAUUGUAAACUUCAAGAAAGCUUUAUUCAUGGCUGUGUUCCCUGGGACACAGACUAUUAAUAGACAGACUAUUUUGUGCAAUGUGGUGCCUGUGGCACAUGUUAUAUACUCAAUAAAUGUUAGCUCUUACUAGUAAUACCCAGCUCAAACAAUAAAAACAAGCAGUGUAGUCAAGGAAAGACUACCUGGUGAAACCUUUGACCUCAGAACCCUAUUGAAAGAAUGUGAACUCCACCAAGAGGAGCGAGUAUUGUGUUUUCUGUUGCAAAGAAGGACUCAGAGACUCAAAGUCUAUCACACCUACAGACCACCAAGAAAUGAGCUUCUUCCCCCAGACUCUCCCAGCCUGAGCCACAUCACUGCUCUUGAAAUUCAGCCUGAUCUGUGAGUCUGAAUGAAUGUGAGCUGCGUGGGUGGCACACAGUAUGAGCUCCAGCGAGAGGCCCUAGUUCUUUCCCAAGAAGGUGUGACUUUUGAUUUCCUUCAAGUACGAUCAAGGUGGGUGAAGCAGUGGUGUUGGAAGGCUGGUGAGCUGUGGGCUGGCUGAGUCAGUGUUGGACAAGCUCCCCUCGGGAAUUUCCCACAGGGAGGGGAGCAGGUGGCAAUUGUCAGCUGGGAAAUUAACCAGGUGUGACUUUGAGAUCCAUAGGUAGAUUACAGUCUGCCCACAGAAAAGCCUGGGCCUAAUUAAUGAUAUUACUCUGAGUGGAAGUGAGGCCUUAUGCUUGGAAUGAAGUCCUUCACCUUGGCCUUUGUCUCCAAGUGAUAUCCUUUUCUACCUCUCUAGCUCAUGGAGUUGUUACUAGAAUAAAUCAAUGAAAUUAUGUAUAUAUGAAAAAAAUCCUUAGAGACUAAUAACGAAAUAUCAUCUGAAAAAAAUGGUUGGGUUUUCAGAUGGUUUUUGUUUUUGUUUAUUUGUUUUGAAGUGCUAGGGAUAAAACCCAAGAGUUCAUGCAUGCUACGCAAGUCCUCUACCACUGAAAUACAUCCCCAGCCAAUACUGUGUUACUUUUACGAACAAAAAAGUUUUAAUAAAAAUAUAUUGAGACUUAUACUCCCAUAGGAAGAGCCAUGGGAGACAUACAUGAUCAGGGAUCACUGGUCAGGCUGGAAGAGACCCCAGAUGGGUAUAAGCUAAAUGACCCAGGCCCCAAACCCACAGCUAGAAGCCAGGCUCAGCCUGAAUUGAGGUGGAUUUGAAAGUCCCAGAAUUGGCACACCCACCCUAAUCCUACUGACUGCUAGUGAUUGCAGCCUUCGUGGAUGUGGGCUCUGACUGCUUUCUUUAUCUACCAAUGAAAGCAGGGACAGAUAUUGAAUUGGACACCAUCCCAAAAUUGUAGACCCC